rnacentral:lncRNA from 10 species
GCCUCCUUCCUCUUUCAGCUGUGCGCCCUGGUUGUGGAGGCUCCUAAGGAGGUUGUGGCCUCGGUUUACCACCUGCCUUGGCUCCUUGGUGUUGCCAGACCCUGAAGGCAGCCCAUGCCCUGGCUGAGAUCCUUCUGGGGCAGGAUGUGCUGGAAGCAGCUGAAACAUGUGCAGAUGAGGGCAACUUUGUGUGCAAAACUCAGAGAGCAGUUACUCAAAAAAAAGACACCCGGGCAGCAGUAACCAGGACACCAGGGUCCGACCACGGCCUCCACACACCUGUGCCCGUGGAAGACGCGGGCGCCGGGGUAGGCAGCAUCCACGUGCUCCACAGCUGCUGGUGCUGGGCAGGCUGGAGACUCACGGGAGAGGCAGGAGGAGAAUCAGCGUGUUGAGUCCCUCGCUGUGUUAGUGUGAAAAAUUCUCAUUACAGUUGCAAAUAAAAGGGAUCACGAUCACUAGCCCCGGAAACCCUCAUCUCCCGGACCAUCAGGAUCGCACUGAACAGAAUGGUCCCCUAAUGGUCCCUGAGGACAGCGUCUUGCAGAACAUAAAUGUAAACAUUGAAUGGCAGACGACUCCCUUCCCCUUGAAAUCUUCACAAAAGUGUGUACGAGAAAGUAUGUACAUCAGCACUUCAGAAAAGGGGCCCACAGGACGUGUGCGGGGUGUGCAGGGUGUGCGGGGUGUGCGGGGUGUUUGAGGGUCCGGAUGUGCGUCCCGAGGUCGGAGGGUUGGACGCCCCUGUGUCCAGUUGUUGGGAGGGGUGGGAGGCCUCGC